GGUUCCUACGGGGGGCAGCAGUGGGGAAUAUUGCACAAUGGGGGAAACCUGAUGCAGCGACGCCGCGUGAGUGAAGAAGUAUCUCGGUAUGUAAAGCUCUAUCAGCAGGAAAGAUAAUGACGGUACCUGACUAAGAAGCCACGGCUAACUACGUGCCAGCAGCCGCGGUAAUACGUAGGUGGCAAGCGUUGUCCGGAUUUACUGGGUGUAAAGGGCGUGUAGCCGGGUUGACAAGUCAGAUGUGAAAUCCUGCGGCUUAACCGCAGAACUGCAUUUGAAACUGUUGAUCUUGAGUACUGGAGAGG
rnacentral:rRNA from 1 species